AGCUUUGGUAAGGAGUGAGAGGAGCUGGGCAAGGCUGUGUUUCAGUCAGCGAUGUACUUCGUGCAAGACUUCGUAUCAAGAAAGCUGCACGUCAAGAAAUGUCUCCUAGAACAGUAGAAUUGUUGUUACCAGCCUGCCAAAAUGAGUCCUAGUAAGGCAAGAAACUGGAAUGACCAUCGUCUUUUAAAUACAUGCCAGAGCAGACAGUGUUUGGAUUGAGGUUUGAUGGAACAUUAGAAAAAUCCUCCAGAUGGCAGAAUAACUAUUUGAAUGUAUGUACAGUAGAUGGGGAUAUAGUUUUAUCCCUCACUAAUAAACAUUCCUAUUUUGGGAUACAGCU